ensembl:lncRNA
ACAGGAAGGAACAUGUUGAUCUUGAGAAAUAUGAAGACACUGCGAACAUCUUUAUAAAAAAAAAUCUACUGCAACACUUGGGAACAUGUUCUGUCCUCGGUGCUACUAAAAUUGAAAGUAUCUACGGGCUAUUCAGAGUUCAAGAGUAAGACAGUGUAUGGAUAAUUCUUAUGAAAAAAAAAAAAGCUUGGAGCUAAUAUUGACACUCCUAAAUGAACAGCGAAUCAGUACCCAGUUAUUUAUCUUACCGAAGGUCAAAUGAAUCUAUGUGAAGGUCACACCAUGACAGUUUCAAAGUUUCAAAAGAAAAAAAAAAGUUUCCUUAUUUUUAGUCUCUUUGCUUAUGUCACGGUUCGGCUGUGUGGCAGGCAGGAGGUUGGACUCACAGGACGUAGGACUCACAACAUGGGAGGUUAACUGAAAAUGGCACCUUUAUUGCUGGGAAAUCCACCAUAACAUAAACUCACAAAAAACAAACAAAAACCUUGAGCAUAGGAACUAGGGACUGAAACACUGGAAAACUAAGCGGGAUCACAAGAAAAUAAACCUGGAACUGAGAAGCUAGGAAUCUAAACAGGAGCACAAAGAGGACCACACAGCAGUGAGGGUGUACAACACAACAAAGGGCAAAUGAAAACAUGGCUUAAAUACACAAGGCAGGAACAAGGGAAUGGGAAACAGGAGGGAAACACAGCUGGGCCUAAUCAGACUUAAUGACAGAAGGGGAAGCAAAACUAGAUACACUGCGCCCAGGACAAGGACUAUCAAAAUAUCAGAAUCAGAAUACUUUAUUCAUCCCGAGGGAAAUUAGGGGUUACAGCAGGCAGCACGCUAAUGGCGCAUGCGCACUCACAAAGGAACCUUCUGACCAACUUUACACAAACAUCACAUUGGGCAGACAUGUCAGAAGGUAGGCUGAUAGGAAAAAAACAACGAAAAUACACUACAUGAGGUAAGAGGAGGAGAAAAAAAAACUCCACUCAGACUGAGCUCCUAGUGGGAGAACAGUUUGAUAAAAGAAAAAACACCUCAGCACAAAAGCACAUGACUAUCAAUACACC